rnacentral:rRNA from 1 species
UUGAUCCUGGCUCAGGAUGAACGCUAGCGGCAGGCUUAACACAUGCAAGUCGAGGGGCAGCGGGCGUAGCAAUACGCUGCCGGCGACCGGCGCACGGGUGCGUAACGCGUAUGCAACUACCCGUAACAGGGGUAUAACGGAGGGAAACUUCCACUAAUCCCCCAUAUGGUCAUUGGAUCGCAUGUUUCGAUGACGAAAGGUUUUUCUGGUUACGGAUGGGCAUGCGUGACAUUAGGUAGUUGGCGGGGCAACGGCCCACCAAGCCGACGAUGUCUAGGGGAGCUGAGAGGCUUAUCCCCACACUGGUACUGAGACACGGACCAGACUCCUACGGGAGGCAGCAGUGAGGAAUAUUGGUCAAUGGGAGGAAUCCUGAACCAGCCAUGCCGCGUGGGGAAGAAGGUCCCUAUGGGUUGUAAACCCCUUUUGCUCCGGAGUAAUAAGUCCCUUGCGAGGGAUGAUGAGAGUACGGGGCGAAUAAGCAUCGGCUAACUCCGUGCC